rnacentral:rRNA from 1 species
UACAGAGGGCGCGAGCGUUAAUCGGAAUCACUGGGCUUAAAGCGUGCGUAGGCGGAUGUGCAGGCAUGUUGUGAAAUCCCAUGGCUCAACCAUGGAAUUGCUUCGUGAACCGCACAUCUUGAGGCAGGUAGGGGCGGUCGGAACGCUAGGUGGAGCGGUGAAAUGCGUAGAUAUCUAGCGGAACGCCAAAGGGGAAGCCAGGCCGCUGGGGCUGUCCUGGCGGUGAGGCACGAAAGCGUGGGUAGCGAACGGG